rnacentral:tRNA from 1 species
GGGGAUGUAGCUCAGUGGUAGAGUGCAUGCUUUGUAUGUAUGAGGUCCUGAGUUCAGUCCUAGCAUCUCCA